ensembl:lncRNA
AUAUCACAACAUAAAUGUCUUGAAAAUAAUUAAUAAAUAAUCUAAUAAGCAUCUAAAUUAUUUUGAAUAUCAAGCCAAACAUCAAUUAUGAAUCUAAUGGGGUUAUACAUAUAAUUAUGAUCUAAUAAGAUUGAAGCUUCACUGGAGACCAGGCAUGACGGCAACUCAAGCUCAAUACUUAGCUUAGCAUGACCUUAUUUGCAGUCUGGAAAAUAACCAUUGCUCAUUUGGCACCGGUGGAAAAAAUCCUGCACAGCUAAAACCAGUUUAUUAAAAAUUUACAUACUAAUCAAAGUGGCGUAGGAGCCUUGACAGGCACCUCCGCCCGUGGUGGGGGAAUAGAGAUUAAGACCCGGGGAAGUGAGCCGUGGAAAGUAUGUCUCCCGUCUCCCCGAUCUGUGCAGGACACCCUUCAAGGUGAACGGCAAGAGUGGUUACCACUUGUUGUACCACAUGACAAGAACACGGAGAACGCCGCCGUCGUGGAGGACAUGGGACAAAAAAGCUCGGAGGAGGAGGCAAAACACACGCAGCGUAAAGUCUGGCGAGCUGAAAAAAAAAGAAGAAAAAUCUAGUGGCGAGUGGCACAACAGCGUGAACCCGGAGGAAGCCACGGGAGCGACAGGCAGAUCAGUGGCUUUCCCCCCUGUGGCAGAUUACACAGAAUACACACAAUGAGAGACAGGAAUAUGGCAGCGGCUCACUUUUUCUCCCCCUAAUUAUCAGUCGCCAUAUUGGCUCCCUUCAGGAGGAGAGGAGUUCAUUUUGUUUCUAAGUCCUUUUGGGAAAUUAAUCCAUUUUACUAAAGUGACUUGGUAAUUACAGUGACAUCAAGGUUAAUUGCCAAAUCUGUAUUGCUUUGGUGCCGUCAACGUCAAAGAAAUCUGUUCUCUAAACACUCACCAGUAGACAUGGAACACACACACACACACGUGGCCCCUUCGGGUUGUGUGUGCUUUUUGGCUAAACAAAAGCCUGCGGCCGUUUGUAAGGAAACAUGCAGGGACACAAUAAAAAACACAACGUUGUAAAAGCUUUAUAGUUAAUAUGUUUUAUGACUGGAAGAAUAACAGUAAACCAAGCGAAAGGCCAAAAAAUUGAAUAAUACCAACGGAACUAGAGGUGCAAGAGACAUUUUUCAAGUUAAAUGGACGUCUGCUGGGCCCAAAUUCAUUCUAGUAAUGAAGUCUUUUAUCAGCUGAUGACAAUCCGCUCCUUCGCUGGUGAUGAGCUUUGUCCGGCAGCUUAUUGUUGGCUCAGGUUAGCCGUAAAUUCACACAGAAAAGUUUAAUAACAGAAACAAGGUAAAGUCAUGGGGGGGGGCGAAACCUUGGCAGUCAUUAUAACAAAAUGGAACUCAUUUGUUCUCUGGGGAGCAAAUCAACAAUAAAAGCCAGCGUCCUCAUUAACAGACCAGAGUAAGGUGCCAACUGCGGUUGUUUUGAAAUAUGUUUAUGGAAAGUCCAAGUGCAGCAUGCGCCACAAAUAUAACUGCUGAUUUGCAAUCGUCAUUCUUACCCUUUUAUCCUUGAAUAAUUUGAAUUAGAUUACUUCGCCUAGUGUUGGUGCCCCCAUGGUGCUGCACACUCAUCCACGUACACUUUGAUGUCUUCUUUAAUGUGCGUAUAGGGUUUUCUUUCAGAGCUGGUCGGACAGUUCUCUCUAGACAACCGGCAGCCGGUACUGAGAUCAGUGCAUGAACAAAAGGUUCCAAUUUCUUUUUUUAUAUUAAAGUAUUUUUUUUUAUCUGGUGCAAAACAGUGCAGUGUGACUGGCACACCCAUUACUUGUCUGGCAGGACGUCGGUGUGAUAAAAUAUGGCAAAAUCAUCAAAUUAAUUUAAAGCUAAUAUAACAAUCCCUGACAACUUCACCACGACAUGUUUUUAAGGACUCGCACAAGCAGAGUACAUUGAGGCUGCCAAGAUGGAGAAAAAAAAAAUGUAGUGAAUUUAACGGGAGGCCUAGUGCCUCCAAAUAGUAAUCCAUCCCACGGCGAACACCGGUCCCAUGUUGCUGCAGCUCGUGUUUGUGCAUAUGCCUCCUCUAUCCUGAUCAGCCAGACCGGAUGUUCCUGGAUGUUGAGGGAAUCCCUCAGGCCUCAGUCUCCCGAUGCCCGGUGCAGCUGCCGACAAGCAGACGUACAAAGGAAUAUGCUGACCAGACAAUGACACACGCGAUUCCACCGUAUGUAUUUGCAACCGGAAAAAAAUUCACCACGGCAGUGAAAUCUAGCAGGGAACAGAAAAUAAGCAGCGCUUUUUAACGUGUAUAGAUCAAGCUUCAAGGCUUUAUUUGCGACACAUGAUUUUGUACCAAAUACAUUUUGAAGACAACUUUGCUAAUAAAUAAGGGAAAUAAUCCACCUAGAACAUGUUUUAUAAACCCUAUACAAAACCCAAUCCCAAGCCUAUCAGCUUAUUUAAUGAUGAAUGAAAUAAAAUUGUUGUAAAUAGGUAAACACCUUAUGCCUCUUUUUAGCAUCAGCUCUAUCUAGGACUAUUCUAUUAUUUCUUUAAGCAGUGGUCAUCUUGUAUUUCCUAAAUAAUAUCCAUAUCGCCUGAUGUAAACAUAAUUAAGUUCAUAAGUCAUAUCUUUUUUUUUCUUCUGACUGAUCCAUACUGUAUCCAGCCAUCGUGUACAUUCAUGUCAAGUCUGCUAAACAGUGUGUGUAGAAAGCAUAACCCGGGUGUGCAAAGUGCUUGUGCAGCGCUAAGCCAAUCAGAAAACAGCUCAAGGCCAGUUGAUCCUUGAUCAAUGAUGGGUCUUGAUUUGCUCAUUAGGCCCAGAUGUGAGGUUUAAUUAGGCUCGCUCGUCUCAAUUGGCGUUGCAUCAAAACACACACCCACAGACACACAACCUCCCCCCCACCCCCUGCCCGGACAACCUGAGCUUCCUGAGUGAUCAAUGUCUCUGUCAGCCUGCCGCUGUGUCCGGGGCGCCAGGCAGGGGCCGGUGGGUCUCAGCGGCCAGUCUCGGGGCCGACAUUAGCGGACACGGGGUGAGCGAUGUCAGCCUGCUGCUCCCAGGGGACAGGGGGGACGGGGGGGACGGCGGAGGCAGGGGGAUCUGGCUCGGCCCAAAGCAGUGGGCUCGGAGAAAGGUCAAUGCUCAGCCGGGUGUGAUUAAUAAGACAAGAAGCUGAGUGUCCCCGAUGCCAUUAUCAAUAUCCGUGGCCACCAGCCGCCCUAUCUGAAUAUGCAGUAGGAGUCACACAGAAGGGAGCCGAAAACAAACAUGGGCGCAGCGAUUCGGAAGCGCACACAAACAUAGUCAAGCCUUAUUGGCGUGUGCUAGUUUGGUUCGCUUGUUAAUGUGAGAGGUCAGCUAUCAAUUAGAUCAUAUUUAUUCACAACAGCAGCUCUGACUCAACCUGAUUCUGGUAAUGACUCACAGCGAAACCAAUCCGAGAGGUAAAAGUCUGGGACGGAAAUGUCAGCACAUCCUCGGCGACAAACAUGACAUUUAAACAGACAUCUGUUCCGCCGCACCGUUUCCACCACCAACCCAAAAUAUUUAUCCCAACCAUAGUUAUACCAUGUAAAUCAGGGAUAGAAAAAAGUAUUCCCCCUCGAAUCAAAAGAGACUGCAAGCCAUUAAAAUAGAUUAAUCCUUCUGUGCAUUCACCAUAAUAAGCGUCUCCCCAAGCUCGGGUCGAAAGUCAAAACAAACCGAAUUGGACAUCGGCAGUGUAGAGAAAAGUCCCCCUCUGCAGCAUGAGCAUUUCAUUUCACUUCUAUGCAUCCAUUCCAGCUCUCAGCCACUCCUAUAUUAGCUUAUAGUUAAACCCAUCAGCACCAACAAGCACAUCUUGCUUCCUUAAAUCAAUUAGCCUCUGCGUGUUGAGUGUAACUAAUAGCCCUGCUGAAUCCUAGAUUAAAUAUGGUAGAUACAAGGCGAGUAUGAGGCGGGGUGUUUAGGAUAAUUAAGAGUGAUAAAUCCAUGAGGGGGGAGGAGGAGGAGGAGAAGAAAGAGCGAGAAGAAGGCAGCUUGAGAAAGACAUGCGAUGUCAAGAUGGGACACUUUAAUGGGACGAGAGGCCAAAAGAGCAAGAAGAAGAAAAAAUAAAUAACACCAAUGUGUGAAUGUGAGCCUGAAAGCCAGUGAUGGAGCCGGAGUUGUUUUCAGCCUCGCCUCGAGCGGCCCAGAUGGCAGGGGCUCGUCUCGGUCUAGCCCACGGUGCAUUUGGCAGCAGCUACUCUUUACUGCUGGCUACUGUACCUCUCUGUCUCUCUAUCUCUCUCUUCUUAUCUGGAAAAAAAAACAAAACAUUAUGGCACAGGGCAGGAAAAGUUUACCCUACAUUUUCCCACGCCGCUCGCGCUUUAGCGGUCUGACCUCGGUCUCGCUCAUCGGCCGGUGUUACAUGUGCGACUCGCUGCUUCUUGGCUGGAAUGCAAAUGGAGCUUUGCACCAUAGACCUCUGCAUGCACUUGCAGUCACACGGGGCGAGCACAACUGGACCUUGUGACGGCAACGUUCUGAAAGGAUUAAUGCACUCAAAGAAGUGCUGUCAGAUUCAAUUAUUAAAGACAGUGAAAUUAAAUAUGUAUUUGCAAGCACUUGCUCUGUAUCACUAUGGUAAAUGUAUACCUUGUAUUGGAGGAACAUAGUUUGAGGUAUUAAGUCUCAAUAUCAGUCAAUAUUUUUGUGGGAAAAAAAAUGUAAUAUUUAAUGACUCAUCCUGAACUUGUUAGAAAUGCCACAGGUUUGCAAUUGAUCAUAAUUACCAUAUUGUAUUCUUAAGGUUUUGUAGAAAGAAACUAAUGAGGCACUAAUUGUAUGUUGAAUAGAAGCAUUAUUUGACAGAUACACAUCCAAUUAAAUACUAGACAAUCAAGAGUGUUUGGGGCAGCAGGUCAGAUGAAUAGAGGUGCAAUCUGCCUCAGGAGCAAAUGCCCAGUAAUAAAUGAAUGAAUAACAAAUGUAGACUUAUAUUUUUUAGAGAAGAUCCCCUGAAAAUCUACUGACUUGCUAUUAAACUCGCUCCUUGUAACUAGCGUGAAGGGCGGAGGGGCAGAGUAGUGGAGGAGGGUGUGUACUCCAGCCAAAGGCCUGCCACCUCCGCCAUCGGGGGAAAUCAAGCUCAUAGCGAUCAGGUGUGCCAGGGGACACACCUGGCCCUCAUCUCAUCAAGGAGGGGUUUCAAAAAGAAGAGUAGUGGGGGACCCAGACAGGUCGGGAGAGGAUCCGGGUAAGCUGGGCAGCGGUCCGGAGUGCUUAAGUUUGAUUUGGUUUCGAUGAAUGCUGGGGAGACCCCAAGUUAUUUGUUUGGUUUAAAACUGCUCCAAAGACACCCUCUGCCUCUAGACUGCUGCGCUGUCAUUGAUUUGGAAUCCUCCGUGCCAUCCCGUUACACUAACUUGAAAAACAAUCGUUUUUAAAAAAAGUGUUGCUAUCUAUCCAUUUUGAUUUGGCUUGAUGACCGGAACCCCACGAAAUUGACAUUGCAUGUAAAUUGUGGGAGCUAAAAGGGCUCCCGGAUGGGUCUGUAUGAGGUGAUGCUAGAUUGCUCCAUAUUGGUGUGGCU